rnacentral:tRNA from 1 species
GAGGGUAUAGCUCAGUGGUAGAGUGCGCACUUAGCAUGCAGGAGGUCCUGGGUUCAGUUCCUAGUACCUCUA